CCAAUAACUUUGUGUCAAUGUAGUUUAUAAAGAUGUUAUGAAUAAAUCUUAUAAUGAUGAAUAAGAAAAAUAAAAGAGUAAAAAAACCGAAAACAUAAGAACACAUGCAGAUACUAGUUUAAGGAUGCAGCUUCACUGUUAUGUGAAAUGAAAUGUCAGAAAGUGUUUGGUUUUAGUAAUGCAGAAGCACAAGCGUACAAGAUGCUAGUAUCAAAAUUCAGAUACUCGCCACAAGAGCUUUAAAAUGGAACCCAAGGGUAGUCAGCAAGCAAGUAUGUCAUCAGAAAUGAAGAAAAUAAUAAUUGCGACAAGAAACUACCUGCUACAAAAUAUAUUGCAAUGGAGGUAGUUCUAGAGCUCUCAAUAAUAUUAGAUUUGAAGAAAGCAGCAUUAAAGACUAUGUAAGGAAGGAAAGUACUGGAUUGAUCGACUGAGGAAGGAAAUAAUAUUGGUUCAUUAUGUUAUUAAAAUUGCAAAAGGAGAUACCUUCCCUGAAAUGGCAGUUUUUAAUUAUAGAACAAAAACAAAAGGCACACAAAGGCUUUUUAAAUGGAGAUUACGUUUGGUCAAUGCUAUUUGUUGAGUUAUUUGUCAAGAAGUCGUGCUUAACGAUGGCUUUGGUAUGAAUAUCGUCUGGUAUGGUAUGAUUAUAGUAUGGUAUGUAGGUAGGAUUGCAGAACACUUAAAAACAAAAUAGAUUUAACAGGUCUGUCUACAAACUACCCAGUAAAUAGUAAACAACAUAUGAAUGCGUUGUUGAAGUUAUAGGCAAGUACUAAUUGAACUCAUGGACUGAGUAACCAUUUGAUUCAACGACUCAAAUAAUUGUAGCAAGAGCUGAUAUAAAACCACUGGGCAAUAUAUAUUGCGCUUAAGUCCCGAAUGGUGAUACAGCAGAGUGCUACCAAGUUAUAGAAAAAAAUGGUGGCUUUAGUUUUCACUUAUGUUUUUCAAAUAAUAAAUUACGGAUUUCACUAUAAGGUUAAGUAUGUGAAAUAAAAAGUGCUUUUAUUUUUUACAAUAAAAGGUGAU